AUGCCCGUGACACCCCUUGCCCGCACGUGCCUCCGACAGCAACGUCGCCUCCGGCUUCCCUGCUGCCCCGCGCGCUUGCGUCCCCGCGCUGCCUCUGGCUGGCUGCCGUCCCACGACCGGCUGCUCCUCGUCCAGCUCAGCACGCGGCGCCGGCUCCGGCUCCAGCUCCUCGCGCCCGUCGCGGCUCCCACCUGUGGCCGCAUGCUCCGCCUUCGUGCCCGACCGAUGGUUCCAGCUCGCCCAGCCGCCGAGUCGGCCUCGCCUGGCCGGCUUCUCCGCCCAUCCGUGCCCCCACCGCCGCGCGCUGCUCCUCGCCUCUGCCAAGGCAGUUGCCCCGCGCAGCCCGCCGACUCUGGACCCAGCCGCGCUGGCUGCCGCUGCCCUACGCCGGCCUCCACCGCCUGCGCCGGAUCCACACCCGGCCGAUGGGUCGCCACGCCCGUCUGCCCCGUCUCCCGAGCACCAGCACCGACUGCUGUCCCCUGCUGCUUUGCCGCUGACCGGCCCAUAGCUUGGCUCGGCCCAGCCGACCGCCGCAUCCGGCGUCGGUCCCCCUCGCCGAACAGCCUCCCUCUGCCCGCUGCGCCUUCGUGUGCAGUCCUCUGGAACGCCGCGCUCCCACCUCCUCCACCCAGUGCCCCGCUGCUCCCGCCUCACUGCGCUGCCGGAGUGGCUCCGCUCCAGCCGCGGGCUCCCCUGCGUUGCUAUUCCCGAACUGCCGCCUGCGCCGUCCGCCUUGCCCUUGCUGGGUCCGCACGCGUCGGUAGCUCCGGUCCGGUGCUGUCCCGGCUUUGUCGCUCCACCGGCUUGCGCCUGCGACCCGGCCCCUGUCGCGUUCCCGCCCCGCAUCGCCGCCUCCUGCUCGCCGCUUUGCUCGGGGCGGCUGCUGCGCGCCGUCUCUCCACGUCAGCCCGGCCGCCCCAAGCUGGCUCCAGCUCCACCACUCACUGGCUCUGCCUGCACCAUGAAUCCCGUCGCCGACUCCGCGCCCGGCCACGCCCGCGUUGCGCUUGCUCCGGGUCACUCGCCUCACGCCCGGAUGCUCCCGGGCCGGCUCCACCCACCCCGCAGCUCGGCCAGCUCCGUUGCCCCGCACACUCCCACUCCGACCGGCUGCUGUUGCGCCCUUGCACGCUCUCACACUGUGGCCGGCUGCACCAAAAAAUAAAGAGGAGUUCGCAUAUGGCUGCCCACAGCCGAAAAAAGAGAAAAUAUAGGAAAAAGUUUGCGUCCAGCUGCCAACAGCCGGCCGAAGAGAAAAGGAAAAACGCAGUUGUGCCCCGCGACGCUGCCUUGCCAUUCGUCUGUCGUGUCUGCCUUGCCAGUCGCUCGUCUGCUUCAACUCCGGGCCGGCUGGAGGUUCCAUCCGACUGCCUGUCCGCCUGCUUCGCCACUCGGACAACCAGCCGCGACCUACCCUGCCAGACACCUCCGCCCACCCGUGAUGCUGCUCUGACGGCGGCCCUGCCUGCCUGGUCCAGCGCCCGGCUGGCUGUGCCAAGCCGGCCAGGUUGCCUAUCUUCCUCGACACCUGACCGGUCGGGCUCGACCGGCCGGGACCCCCUUCGAGCACCCGGAGGCUCGAAGGCAACCCCCAGCGGGUGUGCGGGCACGCUCCGCGAGCGCCGAGCCGCGCCGGCUAUCUUCCUCAACCUCCGCCUCGUCUAG
rnacentral:rRNA from 1 species